UACAGAGGGUGCUAGCGUUGUUCGGAAUCAUUGGGCGUAAAGGGCGUGUAGGCGGUUUGUUAAGUCAUGUGUGAAAUCCCUCGGCUCAACCGGGGAACGACGCAUGAAACUGGCAAGCUAGAGUACCAAAGAGGGGGGUGGAAUUCCCGGUGUAGCGGUGAAAUGCGUAGAUAUCAGGAGGAACACCGGUGGCGAAGGCGGGUCUCUGGGCAGUAACUGACGCUGAGGAGCGAAAGCGUGGGGAGCGAACAGG
rnacentral:rRNA from 1 species